ACCUGUAGAAAAAAGUUAGUCUUUUGUUCUUGCAUAAAAAGUUAGUAACAAGCAUAGCAUACAUAAAACUAGUGAUAGGUUUGUCCUAGUAGUAGUAGUGGUGGUUAGUAGAGGUUAGUUAUAGUCAUCCAAAAUAGUUAGUAAUAUUACAAACACUUCAAAUAGUUAGAUGUCAUCAAGAUUAAGAGGAGAGAAAUGUUGAGCGGUAUCUGGAAUAUUGUCAUCCUGAUCAACUAGGAAUAGUUGUGUUACUGGUUCAGCACUGUGAUUGC
rnacentral:lncRNA from 1 species